rnacentral:rRNA from 1 species
CCGGCACGGGUGAGUAACACGUAUCCAACCUGCCGUCUACUCUUGGACAGCCUUCUGAAGGAAGAUUAAUACAAGAUGGCAUCAUGAGUCCGCAUGUUCACAUGAUUAAAGGUAUUCCGGUAGACGAUGGGGAUGCGUUCCAUUAGAUAGUGGCGGGGUAACGGCCCACCUAGUCUUCGAUGGAUAGGGGUUCUGAGAGGAAGGUCCCCCACAUUGGGACUGAGACACGGCCCAA